ACUCAAAUGAAUAGACGGGGGCCCGCACAAGCAGUGGAGUAUGUGGUUUAAUUCGAAGCAACGCGAAGAACCUUACCAGGGCUUGACAUACAGUUGAAUAUGAUAGAGAUAUCAUAGUCCUUCGGGACAGCUGUACAGGUGGUGCAUGGUUGUCGUCAGCUCGUGUCGUGAGAUGUUGGGUUAAGUCCCGCAACGAGCGCAACCCCUGUUGUUAGUUGCCAGCAUUAAGAUGGGCACUCUAGCAAGACUGCCGGUGAGAAAUCGGAGGAAGGUGGGGACGACGUCAAAUCAUCAUGCCCCUUAUGUCCUGGGCUACACACGUACUACAAUGGCUAUUACAAUGGGAUGCGAAAGAGUAAUCUGGAGCCAAACCACAAAAAUAGUCCCAGUUCAGAUUGUGGGCUGAAACCCGCCCACAUGAAGUCGGAAUUGCUAGUAAUGGCAGGUCAGCAUACUGCCGUGAAUACGUUCCCGGGCCUUGCACACACCGCCCGU
rnacentral:rRNA from 1 species